ensembl:snRNA U6 U6 spliceosomal RNA
GUGCUCUCUUUGCCAGCACAUCUACUAGAAUUGAAGUGAUUCAGAGAAUAGCAUGCUCCCUGAGCAAGGAUGACAAUUAAAUUUAUGAGAUGUUCCCUCUCUCU